AGCGAACGUUUGCGGCGGGCCUAACACAUGCAAGUCGAACGGGUUGGCAACAGCCAGUGGCGCACGGGUGCGUAACACGUAGGUAAUCUACCCUCAAGUUCGGGAUAACGAUCUGAAAGGAUCGCUAAUACCGGAUGUGUUCCGAAAGGAAGAAAGACCCGCAAGGGUCGCUAGAGGACGAGCCUGCGGCCCAUCAGCUAGUUGGUGAGGUAAUGGCUCACCAAGGCUAAGACGGGUAGCUGGUCUGAGAGGAUGAUCAGUCACACUGGAACUGAGACACGGUCCAGACUCCUACGGGAGGCAGCAGUGGGGAAUAUUGCGCAAUGGGCGAAAGCCUGACGCAGCCACGCCGCGUGAGCGAUGAAGGCCUCGGUCGUAAG
rnacentral:rRNA from 1 species